AUUGAACGCUGGCGGCAGGCCUAACACAUGCAAGUCGAACGAGUGGCGGACGGGUGAGUAAUGUCUGGGAAACUGCCUGAUGGAGGGGGAUAACUACUGGAAACGGUAGCUAAUACCGCAUACCAUCGGAUGUGCCCAGAUGGGAUUAGCUAGUAGGUGGGGUAAAGGCUCACCAGGGCGACGAUCCCUAGCUGGUCUGAGAGGAUGACCGGCCCGACUGGAACUGGGACCGGGUCCAGACUCCUACGGGAGGAGGCAGUGGGGAAGAUUGCACAAUGGGCGAAAGCCGUAUGCAUCCAGUCCGCGUGGAUGAAGAAGGCCUUCGGGUUGUAAAGUACUUUCAGCGGGGAGGCGUUACCCGCAGAAGAAGCACCGGCUAACUCCGUGCCAGCAGCCGCGGUAAUUC
rnacentral:rRNA from 1 species